rnacentral:rRNA from 1 species
AUGGCUAGCGGCGGCGGCGGCGACCGGCGGCGGGGCUCGUGCCGGGCCAAGGGGAAGAAGAAGAAGAAGACCAAGUACCUCAGCCUCAGCCGCCACCUCGCCAAGGCGGUGGAGGUCCACAGGCCUGCUGAAUCUCUGUCGGUGGAGGAUUCCUUGCCGCCACCCUCGGCGUUGCCGUCCCCGUCCACGGAGGAGGCGGUGGAGGAUGGAUGCGGGCACGAGCAGCAGCAGCUCGAGCCGUUCACGCUGCAUCCUGAGGCGCCUUCGACUCUCUUCGCGGCGGCGCCGUCGCUCACUGACAUCCUCGGCGUGUCCUCCUCCUCCUUUUCCGGCGGCGGCGAAAGGGGUUCACCGUCGUGCACCCUCUCCCCGGACGCCUCCGCGGGGACUGCUGGCGGGAAGGAGGAGGACCUUGCGCGGCGCGCGCUCCGGGGGAGGGAGCGGUGGGUGUACUGCAGGAGCAGCUCCUCUUCGCCGAGCGCGGCCACUGCGACGACCACCACCUCAUCCUCCUGCUCGUCGGCCGCGAGCACGGGCGCCGCCUCCGCGCGGUCGCCGCUGCUCAAGCUGGACUACGACGAGAUCCUGGCCGCCUGGGCGGGCCGCGGGUCCCUCUUCAUCGGCGGCACCGCGAGCCACGUCACGCCCAAGCUGGAGCUCGAUUCUGAGGUGUUCGUGGAUGUGGCGCCGCCGCCGCAGGCGGCGACGUGGAGCUCGCCGGAGGUGUCCGGGAGGGCGGAGAGGGUGAGGCGGUAUAAGGAGAAGCGACAUGCCCGGCUGUUCUCGAAGCGGAUCCGGUACGAGGUUCGCCGGCUCAAUGCCGUCAGGCGGCCGCGCUUGAAGGGUCGUUUCAUCAAGGAGAAGGAAGGUGUUGCAAUGGCCGAUUGA